UGGGGAAUAUUGCGCAAUGGGGGCAACCCUGACGCAGCCAUGCCGCGUGGAUGAAGAAGGCCCUAGGGUUGUAAAGUCCUUUCAACGGUGACGAUAAUGACGGUAACCGUAGAAGAAGCCCCGGCUAAUUCCGUGCCAGCAGCCGCGGUAAUACGGAAGGGGCUAGCGUUGUUCGGAAUUACUGGGCGUAAAGCGCGCGUAGGCGGCCUAGCAAGUUGGAGGUGAAAGCCCAGGGCUCAACCCUGGAAUUGCCUUCAAAACUGCUAAGCUGGAGGCCGAGAGAGGAUAGUGGAAUUCCUAGUGUAGAGGUGAAAUUCGUAGAUAUUAGGAAGAACACCGGUGGCGAAGGCGACUGUCUGGCUCGGUUCUGACGCUGAGGCGCGAAAGCGUGGGGAGCAAACAGGAUUAGAUACCCCCGUAGUCC
rnacentral:rRNA from 1 species